AUUUCUGUUAUAAUGAUAUAAAAUUACUUUAAAUCAUAUGCAUGACCGGUUUUAAAUAGUAGUGCACGGGAAAACAUUCUCUGGCCUAAACUGGUGCAAACAUGAGAUUGACAUCGUCGGCUACGGCAGUGGCACAAGUGACGAUGACCAUAGCAGCGUGGAGAGUGGGUCUAGCGACGGUUUCACGAUCUCAGCCAAACGUAUUAGGUUAAACGAUUCCUAUUCCGAGUCGCUCUGAGACAGGCGAAACAUCGGGGGGAUUGCAGGAUCUAGCCUACUACCCGGUUUAAUUAUUAAAAAUAUGCGCGUUUACGCUAUAAAGCGCGUGGACUAAGUUUUGAAUGUUGUUUAUGUGACAAAAAACUUUUAAUUGUUAAACAUUAAUAUAUAUAUAUAUGUAUAUUAAAUAUAUAUAUGUAAUUGUGAUUUAAGAUCUGUUGAACGGGGGUGUGUUUCUGUACAUGUACAUUUAUUUCUCUCGUAACCCCCACAUUAAAUACGCAACAUAAUAUGCAUGUAGAUUAUACACGUGAAAAGAAAAAUGUGACAAAAAAAAUAAUAUACAGGAUGUUACAGAGUAGAAGUACACAUUUAUUUUUGUCCAUGGUGUAUUGUUAAUAUUUCAUUAUUAUCAUUCAUUAUGUAUGGAAGAAUGCUGAACAAGUUAGAAUCUUCAAGAAAAACAGGCAGAAUGAAAGUGUUAAUUAUCUUAAACAUGGAAGAAAAUUUCAACCGCCAGCAAAGCCUAUCCGGAGAGGAAAUCUUCGAAGAGAAUCAUCUUAUACGCAGAAUGAGACCUCGGAUGAAUUUGUAACUUUUAUACCCUGAGAGACGAUUGACAUUUCCUCAACAGAAAGACAAAUUUAAGGAUUACAUUUAAUAUUUUUUUAAUUCUUUGUUUAUGCUCGACAUGAAUAAUUGUCAUGUUUUGUUUAUAGUAACUUAUGCUAUGAAGAUUUAUCUGUACUUCUAAAGCAGUACGAUGAUAAUUGUUGUGUUUUUUUGUGUGAAAAAUGUCCAGAAAACUAUAUUUUACUGAUAUGACUUCCAUUACGAAAAUCACAGGUGGUCUUGCCUUAGGUGAAAAUGAGAUAGUGAAGUAACGAUCUUUAGUAUUUCCAUAUUUAUUGAUUUAUGAUAGAAUUCUAAAUAAUGGCAAAUAUGUAAUUUAUUAAAGAUUAUUUAUAAUGUGAAAACUCUUUGUACUUUGCAAUAUCGUUCUGUGUGAGACCUAAGUAAUGUAUUUUCAAUGUAAGCAAGUCCAAAAACCUUUGAUAACAGUGCUUCAAAAUUUGACCAUUAAAGCAUUUAACCACUUAGCCUGCUAGCUUCACUCUAAGAUUUUGGUGAGUUUGGUAACUAGUUUGUAAAUAGGUAAAGUUUGUUAUGCUGUUUUCUGUGGUUUUUGGUCUUGGAUAAAAAAAAUGUGCCCAGCAUUUAAUGAAGUGUUCUCCGUCUGUCGUGAGAUGUGUGUUGUUAAGAAUUUUGAAUUGGCCAGUUUAAGACACAAAAUGUAUGGUUUUGAUUUGAGGGUGUGAUAAAGUACUUUGGAAAAUUUGACAUGCACCAUCAAUAUAUGAUCUGAGAUUAAAGUGUCUGCUUGAUUUUUUUUGUAAAAAAUGUGACGAAAUCGCUUGAUUAGAUCAUGCUAUGAAUAAUAUCAGCUUUGGAAGAUGUUCAAUGACACAUGUUAUGAAAUCAGAAGUUGUUUUAUCACCCCUUACAUUGUGAAGUACAAAAAACGUAUGUAAAAUGUAUGUAAAGCUGUGUUUGAGGUUGUUUUGAAAUGAAAAUGCCUACCGGCUUUAAAGCCAAUGCUCUUUUUCAGGGUUUAGAUUGUGUAAACUUAGUCAAAAUGUUAAAAAGCCUGUCGAAUACCUGUAUUAGGACUAUGUGAAUAUGAAAAUGUGAACACAAAACACCCAAGUCUUAAGUCACUUCAUCAGAUAUUAGCCUUAAAGGCUUCAUUUUAACAUCAUAGACGUGGGCUGAUUUUAUCAGCAUAUUACAUCUGUGUGUUUAUUGUAUUUGAAAUGAAAGCAGACCAUGCUUUAAUGACUAAAAUACAUUCUGGCUUUUGUUAUUAAAGACAGUAAAAAAAUAUAGAAAAGUUUUAAAAUAGUUGUGUAUAGUAAAAAAAAAAAGGAAUUGAUGUAAUUCAGCCCACGUAAUCUAAGAAGUGUUGCACACAGGAUAAUUCAUGCAUGGUGACAUGUCAUACAUAUAUCGAAAAUAGAAAUUCCAUUGUGACAAAAGUUUCAAUUGUUCUGUCUGAUAAAAACAAUUGACAGCCUUUGUUAAAAAUGUAUAUGAUCUCACUGUAGUGAAAGUAAAUGAACGUAAAUGAAAGGGUUGGGGUAUAAUAACAUAUUAUCGCGAGUGUACUAUGACCCUACACAUGUUUUGAUAUUGUACAAGAAUGUUCUUCUAAUAGCCUACGUGGCACACAGUCCAUUUAAUUGGUUUUACAAAUCUUGUCCAAACAGAUUUAUUUGUAAUGCAAAUUUUCUUUACCCAAAAUGACUUGUUUUUGCUUCUGUUAAAAUUACUUCACAGAUUUUUGUUUGUGAAUUUGUGAUUUUCCUCAUCGCUCUUUUACAAAUUAGAUAAAAAGUAAAGAGACGGAUGCAUAAUAAAUAUCGCAUUAUACCUAAAUUUAAAUUUUCGAUUCUUGAUAUUAAUGGGAAUGCUAAUGUGUAUCAAAUUUCUUUUUCAGAAUUUGUUUACAUCUUAAAGUUUAACUAACAGUUGUCACUUUUAUUUUCUAAGCAAGUUUUUUUGUCUUAAGUUACAUAACAUUAAAUACUACAUUUUGGAACGGCUCCAAGAUCUUUAAGAAAAGCCGAAUAAUAGGUUUAGCUUUUAACCAAAAAUUACAUUACAGCAUUGUUAGAGCUGAUUUGUUAAGUGAUCCAUAAUUUGUAAUAAACAUAACAAUGACUUAAGCCGUGAAGAUAUUACUUAUAUUCCAUGUUUUGACGUACAUGCCUUGUUUUAAAACCUUUUUUAAAGCUUGUUAAAUUUUUGUAAACUGUUUUGAAUUGGACUUAUAUCUAAGCAGGCAAUAUUUAAUAGCUUUUAGAUAUCAAUAUAAUAUCUUUGUUUCUUGACUGUUGUAGGGCGUUUUUUGUUGUAAUUGCUUUACAACUUCUGUCGUGAGCGACUGCAUAAAUAGUGCAAACAUUGAUAAAAGCUUAAAAAUGCAGGCAAAUUGAUUCUUAAUCCUGCCUUAUUUAUAAUUAACAAAAACAAAAAGAGUCUUAUAGGGGUAUUAUAUGAUAGGUCAAUAAUUAGUCCAUCCAAAGGUCAAUAAUAGUCCAUUCAUGUUCCAUCCCUCAUUUUUGACUGUGUUUGGUACAUAUGAAGAUUAAAUAGCAAAAUUAAGUGAUCUCAAAGAAUUCUCUAACAAUUCUUUAAGUUAGGUAUUUCCAACAAUCUUCUCUCAGGGUAUAUAUUGUUAGGUGCCACAAAUAGCAUUUUUAAAUGAGGUAUAUAUUGAUUUUGUCAAGUCCCUUUUAAUUUCCAUACAUCAAAUGUUCGAAUAGCAUUCAGUUAUAAAAAUAAUAUUAAUAAUAGCACGAUAAAUGGUUAAUUGACUGUAAUUAUUCACAAUCUGUGCUUUUUCUGAUACAUUAGUUGGACAAAUAGUCUCUAAGCAUCUAGAUUAUGUAAACAUAUUUUUGAAAAAAUUGUAUACGUCUAUUGUACAGAAAGAAAAUUUACUGAUCAAAAACAGGCUUUGUAUGUUUGUACAUUGUUUCCUGUAAAUGUCUCGAGAUAUUUCUCACUAUAUUUGUCCGCGGAGUCAAACAAGACAAGCUGUGACCUACACCACUUCUUUGUUAGUCACAGUUGUGUGUUAUAAUAGUCACUAUUGUUAAAGAUUUUGUUACCCAUUGGAUUUUUCUUCUGUCAUGUAUUUUUCAUUCGCAAUAAUUUAUUUCUAAUUUAUAAAUGCCAGUUGACAUACUGUUAUAUACAUAUAUCAAGGGUUCGCACAAUAUUUGAAUAGCUUGUUAGCAAAUUUUGUUUAGUUACGACUGUAUUGAGUUGAAUCCUUGAUAUUUUUGUUAAAGACUAUUAUUUCCCUCCCUGAAUUUAGCUGGUUGCUUAUAUUUACGGCCAUGCAAAAUUGAUUCUAUGUUUAUCAACAACAGUCAGGUAGGGUUUUAGCCUCGGGAUUUUAAAAAAUAUGAAAAUUUUGAAACAAAAAGUUGAGCCAAAAUUAUUGAAUAAGCGAUCAGAAAAGUUUUUAAAAAAUGAGUCGAGGAAAAUGUAAUAAACUACGAAAUAUUACCUUUCUGGUCAGAUAGGACUUUGAAAUGUUUAUGACCUUAUGUUUAAUGGUAAAAUAUUUUUUCUUAUGUUUCAAAGAAUUUUUCACGGCAUAUUGUCAUUGUUGGCAGGUUUUUAAAUUUGAACUGGACGAUAAACAUAGAAUAUAGUUUAAUAUGGCCUAAGCAAAAAUCUGUGAUAAUAGGAUGUGUGCAAAGUAAGACAUGACCAGGUGCUCCCUGUGAGCUGUUUUUAACGGAAAACCAUAUUUGUAUACAGUCGAAAUCGGUUGGCUCGAUAUCACUUGGUUCGAUUUCCUCGAGGCUCGAACUGGAUGUAAAGGUCCGCUUUUGUUUUACUGUGUAAGCAUUCCUGGUUAGCUCGAUAUUUGCGAGGCUCAAGGUAUUGUUGCUGGUCCCUGGGGUAUCAAGUCAACAGGUUUCGACUGUACUUACAUGUAUCGAAGGGCCUUUUCAAUGGAAAGAUCCAUGCUUUAAUUCCAUGAAUUUAAUAACAAAAAUCUGGUUAGGAAAUAAAUCAAAAUGCAUGCACAUUCUCUGAAGAAGAUAAUAAAGAUGAUCUGGUAAUGUUUUUAUAAAUGCAUUCAUGGUUUCCAUGAAAUUGACAUGUUAUCUAUAAAAUUCAGUGUAAUUCAAAACUUUCGGGGAUUAUUAAUGCGGAUAUCCUUUUUCGGCAUUUAGUCAUGCAUUUUAAUGUGGUGAAAUAUUUAAGAUUACUAAGAUAACUAAGGUAAUUUAGCUAAAACUAGGCCAACUUAGAUAAUAUAACUUUUUUGACUAAGUACUUUUUUCUGAGAAGCAUAAAUUGUUCAUUUUAAACAACUUCUAUUAGUACAUUAUUCCAUUGAAUUUGGCAAAUCCAUUGAAAUGCUGUUCACCAUUCGUCACCUUUGAAGUGCACAGGAUGCUGUCAAAAUUUAUCUACCAAACUGCUUUAAAUACCUAACUCAUAAUGACCCCUUAAAGUGAAAGUUUGCUGACCUUAAUAUUUAUAAGUAACAGGCCUUUAGUUCACAGGAGACUUGGUAUGUUCUUCGCCAUUUUAAAUGGUUAGUUUGAUUUUAUGAUUAUACAUAAUUUUAACAUAACAAUAAUUUGGUGUUAUUGAAAUAUUCCAAAAAUGAUUCUAAGGGUUUUGAGUUGCUGUGCCAUUGUUUGAUAUUAGAAUAAAGAAUUAAUGAAGAUACAUAUGAAAAGUGAUGCAUCUUUAUUGUUUUUUAUAUGCUGUUCAAAAACUUAUUAGAAUGAAAUGUAGAAUAUUUGAACAACUACUCCGUGCAAUUUUAAAUCCUGUCAAUGUUGAUUUUAAAACCUUCAUUAUUAACAUAUAUUAAUAUAUUUGAAAAUUGGUGUUGUAACAUAGAUAUAUUGUAUUAUAGUUAUUUUAGUGAAAAAGAUGUUUAAAUGUCUUAUAUUUUAACAAUUGGUAAUUUAUUAUUAAUAAUCUGUGUAGUUUACUAAGCAUGUAUUACUUGAAAACAUCCAUUCUAACAGAUUGACUGCAUAUAUUCUUUAAUACCAGCUGUGUUCCAUCUGCAAGAUAUUUCAUUGUGUGAAUUUGCCAAGGUCUUGCAAGUAAUGCCUUUAAGGGCUGAAUAAUUCAAAAGCCAACGAAUUGGAAAAAAAUGUUUCCAAAAGUAGAAUAAGCCAGAUUUGCAUCAAUUCUGGUUGCUCUUUGUAGACUAAAUUAGUUGCAUAUUUCAUGCACACUUAUGGAAACAAUUUCCAAUUUGAAAAGUUUUCAACAACAAAGCUUAAUAUGAGCUUAGCUCAAGAUCAAUGUAGCUGUUAUUUUUAUAUGGAGUUAAGCUGAUCCUGUGCUUAUAUAGCCAUUAAAAUGAAGUAUUUUAUGGCACAGUUGGUACUAAAAAUGGCAUUCAGUGGGCUUAUUACGUACGACUUUCUAUGAAGGUUUAAACCUGUUUUGUCAUGGAAAAUUCUGGUAAUUACAUUGCUUAGUUUAAUAUUUAUAUUUGAAAUCAAAAUGUCUUUGAAAGAAGCUUUUGUAACUAAUGAAUAUCCAUAAUGUAUCCUUGUUUUAAGAUUUUUUUCUGGGAAAAUGGACUUUUUUGGUAAAUCGAUAUUUCAAUGUUUGAUUUUAUCUUUGUAUGAUCAAAAUUGUUACAGUGCUCACGUAGCCCUACUAGCAACUAGUGUUAGCCUGUGGUAAAAAGGGACUAUAUACAUUUGAAAACAAACUGAUAAGCCUUUUUGUUAUCAAUGUAUGACUUGAUUUAAUCUAAAUUUGAUCCAUUUUCUUGCACAAAAUGUCUAUGAAUCCUAAGUGCUAAACUGAUCCCAAGUACAUGAUGAAUGAAUUUGAGAUAUAAUUCUUCUGCACUGCUUACUUCCUACUUAAUUAAAAGCAGCUAUGGUUAAUAUUGACAUAUGGAAGAAAUUGUGUCUUAUUAAGAACAACUUGGCCAGCAAGUGUUGCUGGUUUAGCUUUUUCAAUCUGUGAUAUAUUAAAGAAUCUCUUGGCUAAUUGCUUGAUGUGAGCAUGGCAAAAAUUGCAAAAUAAGGGUCACACAUUUUCGACUUUUUAUCUGUUGAAAAAUGACAAAAGAAACUUAUUUAUCUUUACCUAUGUAUAUAUAUAUAUUUAUUAAUUGAAGUUUCAUUGACUAUGUUUUUAUUAUGUUAUCAAAGAAUUGUUUUUCAAGGUAAUUCUUGUAGCUAAAUGCCCAAUAGGACUAACUUUUUAAUAAUUGCAAUUGUGGGUCGGUCCGGUUUUGGAUUUUGUUUAGUAUGACCACAAUUUGAAUAUUGCAAUUUUCCCGUCCAUCAUCAAGCAAUGAUUUAUUAGCCAAUAACAUGCUAAACAAUUAAAGAAAUGUUCUUGUGAAAACUGUAUCAGGGAGCAAAGGAAUAAGCAGUGUAUAAGAAUUAUAUGUACCAUGUAUGAUUAUUUAAGAGUUGCUUUUAUAUUUAUAUAGAGAAAAUUGUCUUUUACCUGCAAUUUGUUAAACACAAAUGAUGUGACAAAACAUGAGAUCCCAUAUAUCCUUAUGUAUAGGAUCUCUGGACGAAACUAUAAAAUAGUUCAUCACAAUAUCUUGUUUGAAUUGUAUACUGUCCUCUGAUUGGUUAGAGCUUAAAGCUGGAAUUGCGUUCUGUCUUCUGAUUGGUUGGAGCUUAAAGCUGGACAGAUUAAGAUGCAUUGUCAGUGUACUUGUAAGAAUUUACAAUGAGCAAAUGUUGAUUUAUAUGUAUGAAAGUAAUUGCUGUAAUCAAUCACAUCCAGCAGUGUUAGCUGAUUGGUCUGUAAAAGUUUAUUUGAAAACAUGGCUACUUUGUUGUUAGAUGAACUAACUUUGAAAGAAAUUUCAGGUCCUUCUCUCAGUCAUGAUAUUCAUGCUAAAAUGAAUAAAAAAAUGUAAAAAAUAAUAAACAAAUAAAAAUGAUAAAAUUUUA